rnacentral:rRNA from 1 species
UACGUAGGGUGCGAGCGUUGUCCGGAAUUAUUGGGCGUAAAGGGCUCGUAGGCGGUUUGUCGCGUCGGGAGUGAAAACUCAGGGCUUAACCCUGAGCCUGCUUCCGAUACGGGCAGACUAGAGUUCGGUAGGGGAGAUCGGAAUUCCUGGUGUAGCGGUGAAAUGCGCAGAUAUCAGGAGGAACACCGGUGGCGAAGGCGGAUCUCUGGGCCGAUACUGACGCUGAGGAGCGAAGGUCAGGGGAGCAAACGGG